AUGAAAGGUACAUUUAUUAUAUUUUUGCUUCUCGCGAUUUUUGAAGUUUCACGCGUGAUGUCAGGACGUGAGAACCAUGUUGAAGAAAAGCGUCACACCAAUGAUUGCGAAGCAUCUGGUGGAUUUUGCAUUUGGGCUGAUUUUGGUAUUACCUGCGCAGACUAUUACGCUGCAGAAAUGCCACGUUCGUGUGAUCAUCCGAUUGAACAGUGCUGCGUCUAUCUUCACUAAGGGAGGAAUUUCGCCUCUUAUCUAUCAUACCUUGCCAUUUAUAGGGCAAUUUUUUGUGUCUUGAUGUUAUUCACUUAAUCUAUAUGUAAUGUCCUAAAAUUUUAUAGUACUAUAUAUGCAUGUGAUCCAAUUAAUUAUAGCUGAAGCUGACAAUAAUAAUAAUUACAAUAACAGUAAUGUUUUCUUAUAGUUAUUCAGGCUUUUAUAGUAAUAUUAUAAGGCUUUUCCUUUUUCUAAGUUUGCUUUCAAGUUGAGAAUAGUUAAAGAGCAA